rnacentral:rRNA from 1 species
CCUACGGGUGGCAGCAGUAGGGAAUAUUGCUCAAUGGGGGAAACCCUGAAGCAGCAACGCCGCGUGGAGGAUGAAGGUUUUCGGAUUGUAAACUCCUUUUGUUAGAGAAGAUAAUGACGGUAUCUAACGAAUAAGCACCGGCUCACUCCGUGCCGGCAGCCGGUGUAAUACGGAGGGUGCAAGCGUUAAUCGGAAUCACUGGGCGUAAAGAGCGCGUAGGCGGGAUAGCAAGUCAGAUGUGAAAUGCUAUGGCUUAACCAUAGAGCUGCAUUUGAAGCUGGUAUUCUAGAGUAUGGGAGAGGUAGGUGGAAGGCUUGGUGUAGGGGUAAAAUCCGUAGAGAUCAAGAGGAAUACUCAUUGCGAAGGCGACCUGCUAGAACAUAACUGACGCUGAUGCGCGAAAGCGUGGGGAGCAAACAGGAUUAGAUACCCUUGUAGUC